GGGGGUAGUUUUUAGUACGUAUGCGCCAGGGAUGGCGAAUCGUGCAUGCUGCUAUUGAGGCCCAGCAGUAUUUUUCGAUGGUUUUUUACCUCC
rfam:Glossina palpalis gambiensis isolate 146720 unplaced genomic scaffold Scaffold3, whole genome shotgun sequence.